ACCACAAACUGUGGCUCAGACAACAGGACGUCACCGUCCCACGGUUCUGGAGGCCAGAAGCCCAAGGCCAAGCUGUCAGCAGCGCUCACCCCUCUGAAACCUGCGGGGGGUGUUUCCAGGCCAUCGAGGCUCUCCUUCGCUUGUAGAUGCUUUGCUCUGCUCCUCCAUCGUCACGUGGCUGUCUCCCCAGUGUCUGUCUGCCUGUCUGUGUCCGGUUCUCUGCAUCUUAUAAGGACACCUGCCAUAUUGGAUUAAAGGCCCGUUUUAUCAUACCUAAUUCUGUCUUCAAAGACCCUAUUCCCAAAUGAGGUUGCAUUUGGGGGUACUGGCAAUUAGGACUUCAACAGAUCAUCUUGGGGGUAGGCAAUCCGACCCGUAACGUCCAUGGCUCUCCCUGUGUGUGAGCGUCUCCUGCCAAACGCGUUAAAAAGGCAGAUUCCCAACCCCACACCCAGAGACUCGGACUCAGCAGGUCUGGGAUUCAGUGCCGACCAUAUCCUCAGCCGUAGUCCUCAAAGAACACAGGGAUGAGUCAGAACCCAAAUAAAGGCUCGCCCUGUCCCUGGACCGCUGACCCAGACUGGACCAGGUGGAGGAGCCCGGGCUAUGAAGACAGCGGCUGACGCCACAAGCUUUGGGGGAUGGAGCCUUGGUCAGCUGCCUCUGGAGACAGCAGGUCCAUCAGGAAGGAAAGGAGCUCCAACGUGUGAAGUCACCCAGCCUCACUGCACCCUGCGAAGAGGAGCCUCCCUGGAAGUGAAAGGCUAAGGGCAGAUGCCGUGACAUCUCAAACCACACCUGCAUUAAGAACUUAAUGGAAAAUACAUGCAUUUCAGGAGCAGGAGUGAUUGUAUUAUGCCUAAUGCAUUUAGGACUGAAUAAAUUACAAUUUUCUGACAAA